rnacentral:rRNA from 1 species
UACGGGGGGAGCAAGCGUUGUUCGGAUUUACUGGGCGUAAAGGGCGCGUAGGCGGCCACCGCAAGUCGACUGUGAAAUCUCCGGGCUUAACCCGGAAAGGUCAGCCGAUACUGCGGGGCUAGAGUGCAGAAGGGGCAACUGGAAUUCUCGGUGUAGCGGUGAAAUGCGUAGAUAUCGAGAGGAACACCAAUGGCGAAGGCAGCUCUCUGGGACGGUACUGACGCUGAGACGCGAAAGCAUGGGGAGCGAACAGG